UAACAGAGAGAGACGAAACAGUGAUGUGGAGUAAAACUUAUAAAAGCGACCUCAGUUCGGAUUGAAGGCUGAAAUUCGCCUUCAUGAAGUCGGAAUUGCUAGUAAUGGCAGGUCAGCAUACUGCCGUGAAUACGUUCCCGGGCCUUGUACACACCGCCCGUCACACCAUGAGAGUUGGAGAUACCCGAAGCCUAUGUCAAAGUGGUCGAAGGUAGGCUUGAUGAUUGGGGUGAAGUCGUAACAAGGUAAC
rnacentral:rRNA from 1 species